rnacentral:lncRNA from 1 species
AAUAAUAUAAUGGAACAAACAACAGGGGAUUAUCAAGGAGGAUUCAGGAAAGGCAGGUCAACUAUAGACCAAAUAUUUAGAGUAAGGCAAACGCUGGAAAAAUUCUACGAGUGGGAUACCGAAUUACAUCAUCUAUUUGUAGAUUUCAAACAAGCGUAUGACUCAAUAAUUAGAAAGGAAUUAUAUAGCGCAAUGCAAGAGUUAAAUGUA